ensembl:lncRNA
CCAAUAUGCACACGGUACACAGAAGGUAUUGGUUAAACAAAUACACACCUUUUUGUUAUUCCCUCUUGUGAGCGAGACCCAUCUGUGGCGGCAGAUUUCCAAAACAAAGUGGAACAAAAAGAGAAAUUUGUUCUGGUUGUGCGAAUGGAAGAUCUGGCCGACAAAAAUUUCCUGAGCAUGCAAACAAAGCCGGACGGGACGGGGCUUUUAGCAAACAACUCCUCGCAGGUGAUUUGCAAAUUCCUCUUUUGGGAUUUUUAACAAACUUUUCAGCUACAGUAGUGUUCUUAUCUUAUCUCAUCUGAGGCAAAGGGGCCGCUGCAUUAGGACGUCGUUUGGAAUGAAAAGCAUAUUGCUGUUUGUGUUUGUUGUGGACGCUGCAGAGUUUUUUUUGUUUGUCAUAAAGCAAGAACCGUGGUUUAAACAUGAAUUUUAAUAUAUACAUUAGAGAUGAAUACAUGAGAUGAAUACAUCUGUAUUCAUGGAUGGAUAUAAAAAUAAAAUUUGUGUUUUUAAUUAAGGGGUAAAAAAAGAGAAUCAUGUUUUAAUGUAAUACAUCUAUGAAGCACUGGAGAAGAACUUCUCCAGUUUCUGAAUAAAAGUUAAACUUAACAUCAACAGUCAAAUUUUCCCAUUGAGACAAAUUAAGAGCAACGUUCUAUUGAACUUUAUCUCUACUCUGGAGCCAACACAAACACCAGUCUUCAAUAGAUUUAUACAUUUGCUUUAUUUAUGGCGCGAUGAUCCACAUCAACCAUCUUCAUUACCAAAACAGCAAUUAUAACUAUGUGGAUAAUGUUCCUCAAAUGUGUGUUGUGGAUCAAAACACCCCUCUCGUCAGUAUUAGAGAACAGUUUUGCAUAUUUUCAAUGGGCAGUAUCAAAGAAGUCAACGAUUAAGGCAGGCAAAAACUGCCCAUAUAGAUGCCUGCCAAUUAUUUUGAGGCAACCAGCCUUUUCUUUUACAAAGAUACUUUAAAACAUACUUCAAGAUACUUCAAAUUUAAUGCAUUUUUUCUUACAAGCAAACAAAUUUAUUUUACAUGAGCAGAAACUGGCUCAGAGAAAAGGGAGCACGGGGUCCAUACACAAGGGAGGAAGGGUAAUAAGAGACAGGUGAAACUGAUCAGGUAGUUGGGGGUAAUCACACAGCUGGGACAAGAGACGGCAAUCAAAUUUAAAUGAAUGAAAAAAAAAAAAGGAAAACAUAACCUUAAAAUCACAGAAUGUCCCUGUGUUACAAUUACAUGUUUUGUCUUAUUAUUGCAGAAUAAAACUAGAAUUUACGCAGGGAGCUGUGUAAAGUGGUUAAACAAGAUACAAAAUCUUCUGGAGCCCACCCUUACUAACAUGAUCGUGGGUAGUGGAGGGGACAGGUUUUUAGAAAAAAGGAAAAAAAACGGACAAAGUAAAGAAAAGACGACAUUUCGGCCUCCGCUUUAAUCGAUUUUCAUUUCUCUUUUUUUAACUGUCCGUCCGGAGUCAGACUGCAGUAUAGCAGUGGGAUGCAAAAUCGAUGGCGUGCUCUUCUAAGGGAACCAUCAAUCCAUUCCAAGCAGUGACAGGAAGUCAAAGUAGCAGAGGUCUGGACAUUGACUGACUGUGUGUGGUAAAGGAAGGCAGCGGGGGGAGCUGGAGGAGGAAGAGGCGCAAAGAUUGAAAGGAGAGGGUACAGUGGAAGUGAGCUAGCCGCGGAGUCUCAUUACUCUGUACUCCUGUGAUCUCUCCCCGUCAAGGAUGCUGAGUAGGGCUUUGUUGAGUCAGACUGAAAAGAGAGACGGAAGAAGGUGGAGCAAGGAAUGGAAUAUAAAAAAAAAGGAAAGCAGCAGCCUAGGAUGCAAAGAGCAACACAGCAACGUAGUCAAACGAAUAAAUCAUCACUUCUUCCGAGUCUUUUCGCUCUUUUCUACCCCCUUUCCUCUCUUUCUGGAGGAGAAAUUGGAAUAUAAUCCAUUGCCCUGGCUUUGAGGAUUGGCUUUGAAGGCUGAGACGGACAGGCCUGUGCCAGAAUAAGAGAUGCUAAAGUGUUCGGGGAGUUUGAUGGCUCAGUGCGAGAAGCCUUCAAAAAUCAAAAAAAAAAAAAAAAUGGAAUAAUAAAAAACUUGCGACAAGGACACAGCGGCUGCUUGGCUUCGCUAGUAUUUUUGGUACGCUGACUUACAUGUACAAGGCAGCGAGCAACAUGUCGAGUCAUGUCAUGCCGCCGCCCAGUGCGAUUACAAAUGUCUGUACCGUGAGUGUAGAUAUA